ensembl:lncRNA
GGGUAGGUGCUUCCGCUGGGCAAAAUAUUAGGCGUUUUAUUAGAGCCCAUUAAACGUUGCAUAAACAUGGUUCAGAGCGUCUAGGGAGAAGAAAAGCCAAAAGAUACCGCCCUCUCGACCUAUCCCACCCGCGGGAGUCUGAAAGCCGACGCCAGGAGAAAUGCCGCGAAGGCCGCCCGGGAUUCUGGUAGGGGCGACGCUGUGUGCGUUUAUGGAGCGCUUGCGGUGCGUGGCACUGGGCUGCGUGUGGUGGGUACUGCCGAGAAAAAGGUUCUUCCCAUCCAUUUGCACAUCACCCUUCCCACCUCCUGCCCAGAUGGGGAUGUCCGGAAGUGAGGACAUUCAUCGGCCGCAUUUUACUAAUGGCAAGGAGAUAGCGACUGAAGGGCAAGAACCUAGGGUUUCCUGUCUGAUAUUUCUCAUCUUUGAGGCUUUUAACAGUUUGAAGCCAUGGUUUUUAGCUUCUGUUUCUAGUGAUAAGCAGAAAAGAGGGAUGAGGAAGUAUUUACUGGCCCAACCAGAAACGGAAACUAAGAACCCAAGACUAUAUUCUCUCCCUUGGACACCCCUGCGUGAGCUCUUUUUCCAUCUAUAAAAUGAAGAGGAGCCGAUAUUUGGAGAUGUUUACCCUGCUGUUUUGGAAGUUGUCCAUUUUACUUGAUAUUGGGACGUAUCAAGAGACCACUAUACCUUGAAUGUAAAAUACAGUUCUGGAAGCCUAAAAUCAAGGUAUCAACAGGACUGCUUUUCCUGAAGGCUUCAAGAAAAAGUCUGUUUCCUUGCCUUUUUCAAUUUCUAGAGGCUACGUACAUUUCUUGGCUAUGGCCCAUUACUCAUAUCACCCCAUCCUCCUGCUUAAGUCAUUGCAUCUACUAAGCAAACCUGCCUCUCCCUUGUAAGAAUCUUUAUGAUUAUAUUGGGCCCAUUGGAUAGUCAAGGAUAAUCUCUGUAUCUUGAGGUCAUUAACUUAGUCAUAUCCACAAAGUUUCUUUUAUCAUGAAGGUAAAAUAUUUGUAGAAUCCAGGUAUUAGGAUCUGAACACAUUUGGGGGCCAUUAUUCAGCCUACUACACAGUGGGAAUUCUAUUUAUAUCCUUCCAUCCCCAAACAUGCAUGCUAUGUAUAUAUGAGGCACAGCACCAUACAAUGAGUAUUGAUUUAGAGUAUAUGCUGUACCCUGGUGGACAGGGUCAUUCCAUUUCACAGGCUAUUAUCUUCAAGCUUUUGCUUCAUUUUCACUUUCAAAAGGGUUUUCCAUCAGGCCAGCACUUUUUAGGUUGUAUAGUAUGUGAUAGGACCAGUGGAUCCCAUGGUUAUGUACCUGCUGACACACCUCCUUUGCUGUAAAGUGGGUCCCUAAAUCAAAGGCAAUAUUACACAGGAUACAUGUUGAUGGAUCAAAUACCUGUAAACCUUUGAAUAGUAGAGCUGGCCAACAACUUAUAGGCAAGGAAGUCAAAACUCAUAAAUGCAGAUGGGCAGUUUCUAGUCAAGGAGAAUCACUGCCCAUUCUAGGAUGGAAGGAAUCCAACAUAAGUCAGCUUGCUGCCCAAGUAGCUGUUGGGUAUCCUUGAAGGUUGGGGCUGUAUCGGGAACUUGGUGUUUAACAUUGGGGAGUGGCUGGUUUUUUUGUUGUUUUUUGAGACGGAGUUUCACUCAUUGCCCAGGCUGGAGUGCAGUGGCGCCAUCUUGGCUCACCGCAACCUCUGCCUCCUGGGUUCAAGGGAUUCUCCUGCCUCAGCCUCGCGAGUAGCUGGGAUUACAGGCAUGCGCCACCACGGCCAGCUAAUUUUGUAUUUUUAGUAGGGACAGGUUUCUCCAUGUUGGGCAGGCUGGUCUUGAACUCCAGACCUCAGGUGAUCCACCCACCUUGGCCUCCCAAAGUGCUGGGAUUACAGGCGUGAGCCACCGCACCCGGCCUGGGGAGUAGCUAUUGGAUAAGUGGAGGCUGUCUAUUGGCCUCUUGCUCACUUGCAUUCCUGCAAGAUGACUACUUUGUCAUGAGCCCCCUAUGCCAUUCCUGGGGGCAGAGGGAGGAGACGGUGGAGCUGAUGGCUGUAGCUGCUGAAGUUAACUGGCUAAAUCUGUCUACUUGGUUAUUUAAUGCUGCUUACAUGUUGGAUUGUCUCUGGCAGGUAAAGAUUCUGUUAUACAAUACCAAACCCCUCCUUAUGUGCCAUAUGUCAUAUAUUUCUCCACUGCUUCUCCAGACUUCUUGUCCUUGAUAUGCCAGUCUUAUUCCAGACCCCUGAUCAUCUGGCCAACUUAUUUGCCAUUUGUCAUGAAAAUACGUUUUACUUCAAGACAGUUUCUUUCCACACAAAGUUGAUGACCAGGAAUACUGCCCCACAUUAUGUCGUUUGGAAGGGUUCUCCUCACUGCUGUCUUUUAAGGCCUGUCCUGUGUGGGCCUGUAGGGCAGUAGCAGUCCAUUUUAGUUUUGAACCUGUAUUCCAAGAAAACGCAGUGAAUUCAGCUCAGGCUUUUUUGUCCUCCAUAAGCUAGACAUGAGAGCCUCCCAAAUGGCCAUAAUUGUGAGCUGAGGAAGGGACAUCGGUAAAGAAUCAGAUAUGACAUGGGAGCCUGACCACCUGCCUGUGCCCAGCUCAUGAUGGGCAUCUCUGGCUACAUCGUCACUUGAUGUCCAUAAUCAGUUCUUACCAAGGCACAUUAGUAUGGAUAAGUUGUUUUUGGGGGUUUGCACUGCAGAUGGCCCAGCCUUGCCACAGAAUGCCAAGAGUUGACCUUGUGAUUCUCCCAUUGGAGCUUGCCAUCAACUUUCAUGGUUUCUUAUCUCAUUUACUCGUCCCAUAGAAUAUCCUGAAUUGGUCCAUGCAACAGGGCUAAAUACACCAUACCUGCUAGAGAACUUUUACGUGCUAUGGAUCCCACUGAAAACUGGCAGACUUCUAUCUCACCCAGUUUACAAGUCAGAACAGUAUUGCCAACUUCUGAAUUCCCACAGAGGCCUACACAACUUGGUAUGCUUCCUUGGUGGCAGAAUAAUUUUGGUGAAAUGAGUGGGUGAGAAGCAGUAAUUUGUCCUUUACUGUGAAGGGUAUAUCUUGGCAUUCAAGCAGCCUAUUGGGCCCUAAAAAUUUCACUGAUGUAACAGCUUGCUGGGUCUUAAGGAUUAUUUCCCAUCCUCCAGUGUACAGUAUGCUAGCUGCUUAUUAUUUACCUCACCCAGCUAGCAUGAUGUCAUCAAUGUGGUAGGUCAUUGUGACAUUAUGUGGGAUGUUCAGAUGGUCUAGAUCUCUUUGGAUUAUGAUGCAGUGUGGAAUAGUUAACAUAACCCUAGGGCAAUACUAUAAAUGGGUACUGCUGUCCUAUAUAAACACAAACUUAAUUCUUACCCAGCACCCUCAGGACCCAGUUCCAUACCCGUGCUCAUGGUUCCUGUUGGUACAUGUUGGUUAGGUCCUGCAUCUCUUUGGUCAUAUAAGCCCAUUUGGAAUUGAAAGUGGACACACAGAAUGAGGGCAAAACACCUGCAGAAUAGCUGCUUCAUCAUGGUGGUGUGGGAGUUUUUCAUAUCAGGUUUUGUUACCUUUGAGUUUUUAAAUUAUGUGUAAAGCUUUGAUUUUAAAAAAAAACUCAAUUAUUAAAAAGAAACUGAGACAGUCUGUCUAUCCACCUAUCUCUGUUUACCUAAUGCUAUUGUUGUGUGUGUUAAUAAAAUUCAAUUUUAGCU